UUGCAAUUGAUGAUUUACUCAGAUUCCCCUUUAAGACGUCAAGAGUGAUGCAAAAACUAAGUCUAUGAUACU